rnacentral:tRNA from 1 species
AAGCCCCGGCGCCUAACCUACUGGCGCGUCUCCGGACUUGCAUUCCGACGUGUUGCUCAUCCUCCGGGG